AUUUUAAUUUUUCUAUUAGUUUUAAAGAAGUUGCUUUAGUUGCUUAAUUUGUAAUAAUUGUUUAAUUUAAUAUAUAAAUAUAUAUAUACAUGUAACAUUGCUUUUUUUAUUUCAUCAUAUUUACAUUCAAUACUUUGCUGAAAAUAUCACUGCUAUUAAAAGUUAUAUGGUUUGUAUUGAGAUAUUAAAACCUAAAUGAUCAAAUAAUGUAAGGGGGUAUUAGUAGAUAGUAGAUUGGAUAGUAAUUCAGUUGAUCAAGACUUAUCGGUUGUUGAAGUGUAAAUGGGCUUUAAGACUGGUGCAACAACUUACAGCUGACUAGCAUUAGUUUAGAAGGGUGGGGACAAAAUCGUAUGAUCUGGCAACGCAGAUGUAAUGUUUGAUAAUGCAGCUGAAGUCAUCAGUCCCUCACAGCUUUCUGUCUGCAAAACAUGCAAACAAAAAGCGGAUGUUGUUAUGCAUCAAAGGGCACUGCAUCAUUCCAAUUGCUUUUCAGAAAGCUUGCAUAGAGGGUUGCAAAGAUUUGGUCUGUCUCUCCAACCCACACAGGAAAUGCAAGUCAUUGACUUCCUGAAACCAGAGGCCCCCAGUGUGGACAAGAAGCAACCGCAGCCACGGCCUGAAGAUAAAGGUAAGAGAGAGUUCACUGUCCAGUUCCUUUUAUACCACAAAUUCUUGUGUGCCGACUGUGGUGACACACAAUAUCAUCAAGAAUGAAAAAGCAGAAAUUGUUUGUUAUUGUUAUCAUUUUAAACACAACCGUUCAAAAGUUUUGGUCAGUAUGAUUUUAUUUUUAAGAAAUAAUUUGAUUCAGCAGGGAUGUAUUCAUAAUUGAUCUUAAGUGAGAGUGAAGACAUUUAUGUUUAAAAAAAAAUUAUAUUUCAAAGAAAUGCUGUUCAUCUGAACUUUCCAUUCAUCAAAACAUCCUUAAAAAUGUAUCAUAGCUUGCACAAAAAUAUUAAUAGCACAACUGUUUUGAACACUGAUAAUUUUAAAAAUGUUUAAGCACCAAAUCAGUGUAAUAUAAUGAUUUCUAAAAGAUGAUGUGACGCUAAAGACUGGAGUAAUGUCAGCUGAAAAUUCAGCUUUACCAUCACAGGAAUAAAUAUUGCAUUUUAAAAAUAUUAGAAUAGAAAACUAUAAAUUGUUAUAAUAUAUCACAAUGUUACAGAUUUAACUGUAUUUUUGAUUACCAUAUCUUGGUGAGCAUGAGAGACAUUAAAAAAUCUUACCAACCCUAAACCUUUGAACAGCAGUUUUAUAAUAAAAGUCGUACACACACAGUGCCAUUUGAUGUUUACUUCAGCUGGUACAGAUAGUGUUAAAUAGCAGUUGAUCUGCAUAGUCUGGGCCCUGUUGUUUUCAAAA
rnacentral:lncRNA from 1 species